GACGAACGCUGGCGGCGUGCUUAACACAUGCAAGUCGAACGGAAAGGCUCCAGCUUGCUGGCGUACUCGAGUGGCGAACGGGUGAGUAACACGUGGGUAAUCUGCCCUGCACUCUGGGAUAAGCCUGGGAAACUGGGUCUAAUACUGGAUAUGAUCUUUUUCCUUAUGGGGUUUGGUGGAAAGUUUUUCGGUGUAGGAUGAGCCCGCGGCCUAUCAGCUUGUUGGUGGGGUGUUGGCCUACCAAGGCGACGACGGGUAGCCGUCCUGAGAGGGUGAUCGGCCACAUUGGGACUGAGAUACGGCCCAGACGCCUACGGGAGGCAGCAGGGGGGAAUAUUGCACAAUGGGCGGAAGCCUGAUGCAGCGACGCCGCGUGAGGGAUGACGGCCUUCGAGUUGUAAACCUCUUUCAGCGGAGACGAAGCGUAAGUGACGGUACCUACAGAAGAAGCACCGGCUAACUAUGUG
rnacentral:rRNA from 1 species